GUACGGGAGGCAGCAGUGGGGAAUUUUGGACAAUGGGGGCAACCCUGAUCCAGCCAUGCCGCGUGAGUGUAGAAGGCCUUCGGGUUGUAAAGCUCUUUCAGACGGAAAGAAAUCGCACAGGUUAAUACCUUGUGUGGAUGACGGUACCGUAAGAAGAAGCACCGGCUAACUACGUGCCAGCAGCCGCGGUAAUACGUAGGGUGCGAGCGUUAAUCGGAAUUACUGGGCGUAAAGCGUGCGCAGGCGGUUAUGUAAGACAGAUGUGAAAUCCCCGGGCUCAACCUGGGAACUGCGUUUGUGACUGCAUAACUAGAGUACGGCAGAGGGAGGUGGAAUUCCGCGUGUAGCAGUGAAAUGCGUAGAGAUGCGGAGGAACACCGAUGGCGAAGGCAGCCUCCUGGGCCAGUACUGACGCUCAUGCACGAAAGCGUGGGGAGCAAACAGGAUUAGAUACCCGCGUAGUCCG
rnacentral:rRNA from 1 species